UACGUAGGGUGCAAGCGUUAAUCGGAAUUACUGGGCGUAAAGCGUGCGCAGGCGGUUGUGCAAGACAGAUGUGAAAGCCCCGGGCUCAACCUGGGAAUGGCCGUUGAAACUGGCGAACUGGAGUGUGGCAGAGGGGGGUGGAAUUCCGCGUGUAGCAGUGAAAUGCGUAGAGAUGCGGAGGAACACCGAUGGCGAAGGCAGCCCCCCUGGGCUGACACUGACGCUCAGGCACGAAAGCGUGGGGAGCAAACAGG
rnacentral:rRNA from 1 species